rnacentral:rRNA from 1 species
UACAACGAAACUGCGAAUGGCUCGGUAAAACAGCAAUAAUUUAAUCGGGGAUAUACUACCGGAUAACCGUAGUAAAGCUAGAGCUAAUACGUUACUAGUACAAACGCGAUUGCCUUCUGGUAAUCGUGGUGCUAAGUAUUAGGUACAACCCAGUUUUUAACUGGUGAUUCAUACUUAUCGUCUGAUCACACCCUCGUGUGUGUGACGCCCCGAUUAAAUUUCUGACCUAUCAACUAUGAUGGUAAGGUAGGGUCUUACCAUGGUUGUGACGGGUAACGGACCGUGGGUGCGGGAUUCCGGAGAGGGAGCCUGAGAAACGGCUACCACAUCCAAGGAAGGCAGCAGGCGCGCAACUUACCCAAUCCGAAUUUCGGGAGGUAGUGACAAUAAAUAUCAAUAGGGGGACCAAUGGUCUUCCUAAUUGGAAUGAAAGCAAUGUAAACACCUCAUUGAGGAACCAGCAGAGGGCAAGUCUGGUGCCAGCAGCCGCGGUAAUUCCAGCUCUGUAAGCGUAUACCAAAGUUGUUGCAGUUAAAACGCUCGUAGUCGAAUUUUGACGUUAGUUUCUUUAGACCCCUGAUGGGUGUCUAGAGUUUUGCUGCGUCUUUGUGGAUUUGAGAUGCUUGGUGAUGCUUUAUUGUAUUACUGCAUUUUUGCCACUGUUUACUGUGAAAAAAUUAGAGUGCUUAAAGCGAGCGAUUUGCCAUGAAUACAUUAGCAUGGAAUAAUAGAAUAGGACCUGGUUCUGUUUCUAUUGGUUUGUCAGUUUCAGGUAAUGAUUAAGAGGGACGGUCGGGGGCAUUUGUAUUCCAGGGUUAGAGGUGAAAUUCUUAGAUCCUUGGAAGACACACAGCUGCGAAAGCGUCUGCCAAGGACGUUUUCAUUGAUCAAGAACGAAAGUAGGGGGAUCGAAGACGAUCAGAUACCGUCGUAGUCUCUACUAUAAACUAUGAGGACUAGAAAUUGGACGUGGCCUAUUUUUGGUACGUUCAGCGCCUUGAAGGAAACUAAAGUGUUUGCUUUCUGGGGGGAGUAUGGUCGCAAGUCUGAAACUUAAAGGAAUUGACGGAAGGGCAUCACCGGGUGUGGAGCCUGCGGCUUAAUUUGACUCAACACGGGAAAACUUACCAGGUCCAGACAUAGUGAGGAUUGACAGAUUGAGAGCUCUUUCUUGAUUCUAUGGUUGGUG